GGAGGGGGCUAGCGUUAUUCGGAAUCAUUGGGCGUAAAGGGCGCGUAGGCGGCCUGAUAAGUCAGGGGUGAAAUCCCUCGGCUCAACCGAGGAACUGCCCUUGAAACUGUCAGGCUCGAGGCCGGGAGAGGGUAGUGGAAUUCCGAGUGUAGCGGUGAAAUGCGUAGAUAUUCGGAGGAACACCAGUGGCGAAGGCGGCUACCUGGACCGGUUCUGACGCUGAGGCGCGAAAGCGUGGGGAGCAAACAGGAUUAGAUACCCUGGUAGUCCACGCUGUAAACGUUGAGCACUCGGUGCUGCGGGUGUCGACCCCCUGCAGUGCCUUAGGAAACCCGUUAAGUGCUCCGCCUGGGGGAGUACGGUCGCAAGGCUG
rnacentral:rRNA from 1 species